UACGUAGGGGGCAAGCGUUGUCCGGAAUCAUUGGGCGUAAAGAGCGUGUAGGCGGUCCGGUAAGUCCGCUGUAAAAGUCAAGGGCUCAACCCUUGAAAGCCGGUGGAUACUGCCGGGCUAGAGUCCGGAAGAGGCGAGUGGAACUCCUGGUGUAGCGGUGAAAUGCGCAGAUAUCAGGAAGAACACCUACGGCGAAGGCAGCUCGCUGGGACGGUACUGACGCUGAGACGCGAAAGCGUGGGGAGCGAACAGG
rnacentral:rRNA from 1 species